ACUUUCAAUUUUGGGGAAGUUGUUUUACAAACUCAAUCCCGAUCGAAUUGAAGAACUCCACGACGAAUCAGAAGACCUCGACCUUUAUCGUCUUCUCUCUCUCUUUCUUACCCCGAGAAAUAUCUCUUCCUCUGUCUCUAUCCACUGUGAAACCCUAGAAGAACAUAUCAAUCCUUCAAAUACUUUGUAUCACCACUGUGGAACCCUAGAAGAAAAUUUGGAGAUUCGUUGGUGGAUCCAUAUUUCAUCCAUUGAAACUUUAGUCUCCGAUUUGUUGCCCCUCCGUUCUCUCUUCUGUUUCAGGAUUGUGUGGGAGCUAUAGAUGGGACACAUGUUCGUGCUUCAGUCCCCCUUAAAGAUCAAGGAAGAUUUCGUGGCCGAAAAGGGGGAACAACACAAAAUGUUCUAACUGCUAUCUCGUUUGACUUAAAGUUCACAUAUGUACUUGCUGGUUGGGAAGGAUCUGCACAUGAUUCUUAUAUUCUAAGUAAUGCACUUUCGAGGCAAAGAGGGCGCUUACAAGUCCCUGAAGGUAAAUACAAUCUUGUUGAUUCGGGUUACGGCAUUCGAAAUGGAUUUAUUCCCCCAUAUCGUGGCGUUCGAUAUCAUUUGAAAGAAUAUAGUAACCGUCCUACGUAAAAUGAAAGAGAGUUGUUCAAUCUUCGUCACUCUUCCUUACGAACUGCCAUUGAAUGUGGUUUUGGUGUGGUAAAGAAACGCUUCUGCGUGCUUGAUGCCGAACCUUUUUGGGAAUAUCCAACCCAAGUUAAUGUGGUACUAGCAUGUUGUAUCUUACACAAUCACAUAAUGGGAGUUGAUCCAAAUGACGAGAUUAUGCAAGACACCAAUGAUGAGUUUCAAACCGAAAGACAAAGACUCCAACAAACAUAAGGAGAAGAGAGGGCAGAAAGUAGGGAGUUGGCAGGGCGUUGGCAAUUAGAAGGGAUGCCAUAGCCCAUGCUAUAUAUGAUGACUACAUAAAUAGAAGAAAUUUAUAAAGAUCAUUGUCGUUUCUUCUU